rnacentral:rRNA from 1 species
GGUCUUUUGUUUAUAUAAAAGAUCUAGCCUGCCCAAUGAUUUAAUUUUAAUGGCUGCAGUAUUUUGACUGUACAAAGGUAGCAUAAUCAUUUGUCUUUUAAUUGAGGUCUGGAAUGAAUGGUUGGAUGAAGGACUUACUUUCUUUAUUUUAAAAUUAAAAUUUAAUUUUUAAGUUAAAAAGCUUAAAUUUAGAAAAAGGACGAGAAGACCCUAUAGAACUUUAUUUAUAUUUAAUAUUUAUUAUUUUGUAAUUUAUUAUUGAGUAUUUUUAUAUAAAUUUUGCUGGGGCGGCAGGAAAAAAUUUUUAACUUUUUUUGUUUAUUUCAUUUAUAUAUGAAUUUUUGAUCCUUUAUUAUGGAUAAGAAGAAUAAGUUACCUUAGGGAUAACAGCGUUAUUAUCUUAGAGAGUUCAUAUUUAUAAGAUAGUUUGCGACCUCGAUGUUGGAUUAAAAUUAGUUUCAGGAGCAGAAAUAUGAUUACUAGGUCUGUUCGACCUUUAAACUUUUACAUGAUCUGNGUUCAAAC